UACCUUGAAUAGCUCGGUCGGUAGAGCAUAAUACUCUUAAUCUCAAAGUUUUGGAUUCAAUCCCCAUGUUGGGUAA